rnacentral:rRNA from 1 species
AGAGUUUGAUCAUGGCUCAGGAUGAACGCUAGCGACAGGCUUAACACAUGCAAGUCGAGGGGCGGCAUGGGGUAGCAAUACCCCGGUGGCGACCGGCGCACGGGUGAGUAACACGUGUGCAACCAACCCCGUACCGGGAGAUAACCCGCGGAAACGUGGACUAACACCCCAUAAGACCUUUCCCCCGCAUGGGGGGGAGUUUAAAACCCCGGUGGUACGGGACGGGCACGCGCGACAUUAGGUAGUUGGCGGGGUAACGGCCCACCAAGCCGACGAUGUCUAGGGGUUCUGAGAGGAAGGUCCCCCACACUGGAACUGAGACACGGUCCAGACUCCUACGGGAGGCAGCAGUGAGGAAUAUUGGUCAAUGGGCGAGAGCCUGAACCAGCCAAGUCGCGUGAGGGAAGAAUGGUCUAUGGCCUGUAAACCUCUUUUGUCAAGGAAGAACAUGUAGUACGUGUACUACCCUGCCAGUACUUGACGAAUAAGCAUCGGCUAACUCCGUGCCAGCAGCCGCGGUAAUACGGGGGAUGCGAGCGUUAUCCGGAUUUAUUGGGUUUAAAGGGCGCGUAGGCGGGACGUCAAGUCAGCGGUAAAAGACUGCAGCUAAACUGUAGCACGCCGUUGAAACUGUCGACCUGGAGACGAGACGAGGGAGGCGGAACAAGUGAAGUAGCGGUGAAAUGCAUAGAUAUCACUUGGAACCCCGAUAGCGAAGGCAGCUUCCCAGGCUCGAUCUGACGCUGAUGCGCGAGAGCGUGGGUAGCGAACAGGAUUAGAUACCCUGGUAGUCCACGCCGUAAACGAUGCUCACUGGAUCUUGGCGAUACACGGCCAGGGUUCAAGCGAAAGUAUUAAGUGAGCCACCUGGGGAGUACGUCGGCAACGAUGAAACUCAAAGGAAUUGACGGGGGCCCGCACAAGCGGAGGAACAUGUGGUUUAAUUCGAUGAUACGCGAGGAACCUUACCCGGGUUUAAAUGCAGGUUGCAUGAGGUGGAAACACCUCUUUCCCUCGGGACUACCUGCAAGGUGCUGCAUGGUUGUCGUCAGCUCGUGCCGUGAGGUGUCGGGUUAAGUCCCAUAACGAGCGCAACCCCUAUCGCCAGUUGCCAUCGGUUUCGGCCGGGCACUCUGUCGAGACUGCCACCGUAAGGUGCGAGGAAGGCGGGGAUGACGUCAAAUCAGCACGGCCCUUACACCCGGGGCGACACACGUGUUACAAUGGCCGGUACAGAGGGCAGCCACGGGGCGACCCGGAGCGAA